CAUUGGAGCCACUUUCAGUUCUGCUGUGAGACAGCUCCGAGGGCCAGGCUGACCUGCAGCUACUCCCACCACAGUGGCCUCUGGCCAGGCUUGAGGACAGCAGAUGGAGUCUGUCAGACUGUUUAAUAGGGGUCUGGAGACCCCAAGAACCACCAAGAGCCAAGGUUGACAACCACCAAAUAUCUGUAUAGGAAGAAGAACCAGCUCCACUUGCUCCUGUGACAAUAAUACCUCCGAAGUACUGUGGCCCAAGGGCUGAUGUCCAUUUCCUUUUGGCAAUGGACUGCUUCUCCCAUGGGGAUCUGCAGCAGGAGCUCCUAGGAGGCUCCUGCCCCUGCUUCACACAAUGGGCAGCUGAGAUGACCAAUGGAUGGACAACCUUCUCUCAGCCUGGAGUGCUUCCCCACUGGAGACUUCAACAUCAGCCCUGGGGCUCUGAGAAACCACUUCAUUUACUUUGAUCAUUUUCCUGUCAAAGGUAAAUUUUUAAAUUGGCCACUACACUUCUACAGAUAUGAAGCUUUUCUGUGAUGUCUGCCAAUCUCAACGAAUGCAUCAAACUAGGUACUGUAGUUGUACUAAAUAAUAUUGUAAUUGUUUUGUUCAGGGUUUAUUAACGUCCACCCAAUCAUUUUCUCAGUCAUAUGGAAGAAAUGCCACCCUGCAGGUUGAGCAACAGAUCCAGACUGCUUCAGGGGAUGAGUGGCUUUAGUUUUGUCCCUUGACCCCAAAAUGACACCAUGGCCUGACCUAUAAAAUGAGGACUAUUAAAUGUAUUCACUUUUGUAAACACUAGUGCAACACAUGGUUGAAUAGCGCUAUGUAAAUUUAAAAUCUUAAUUAAACUGAGGCAGAGUGCCAAGUAAUCACAAUGCACACACACUACUUGAAACCAACUCAUUAAUAGUUCUGCUGCUGGAAUCAGUUUCUUAAUGGCUCAGUAAUGAGUUGACUACAAUUUACAAAACCACGUUUCUUGAAUUUUUUUUUAAAUUGUAUAACUAUAAUUUGAUAAUGUCUUGAACUUGUGUGUGCACAGGUAACAAAAAAGAUACCUUGGAACACUUAAGGGCCCUAGACUUAAAAUCUGUUAUUUUUUAUUCACAAUUUGUAUUAGUUUAACUCUGUAACAAAAAAUGAUACUCUGGCUUUUUUGUUGGUAGCUGGAAGUGUUGUGGUACUUCACUAGAAUGUUUGAUGUCUUAGUUCCUGACCGCUCAGCCAAAAAUACUGUGCAACCAACUCACUUCUCUGAGUUUCUUGCCUUGCAUGCUACAGUCACCCAGAACUAGCAGACAGUUUCCUUUCCUGUGAGACGAGAUGCAUCAUGCUUAACCAAGCACAUCUCUUCAUGUGCAAUGAAGACACUAUAUAUGUUUGAGUGGAGUAUGCUGCUCUUUCAUCCCUACCUGGUUUUGUCUGUAGUAAAUCAGCCAGCAGCCUCACUACCAAAAAAAUGUUAGAUAUUAACCUCCCUCCAUCUCUCCUUCCUUCCAGCACUAUUAACCUAGGUUACCUACUCAGGGAGCACGUUUUUAAGCUUCAUGGUAGAUUUAUAUUUGGAAUUUGCAAAAGCAGAGUCUUUCCCUAAUCCCUCUCCAUUACACCACAGGCAGGGAUCUGCAAUGGGGAGCUGUUUACAUCCAUGGCAUACAAGUUAGGAGAUGCAUCCCAUAAGGUCCAUCUCUGGCCUUGCCUGC